rnacentral:rRNA from 1 species
GCAAGUCGAGCGGAAAGGCCCCUUCGGGGGUACUCGAGCGGCGAACGGGUGAGUAACACGUGAGCAACCUGCCCCUGACUCUGGGAUAAGCCCGGGAAACUGGGUCUAAUACCGGAUGUGACCAGCCUCCGCAUGGAGUGCUGGUGGAAAGUUUUUCGGUUGGGGAUGGGCUCGCGGCCUAUCAGCUUGUUGGUGGGGUGAUGGCCUACCAAGGCGACGACGGGUAACCGGCCUGAGAGGGCGACCGGUCACACUGGGACUGAAACACGGCCCAGACUCCUACGGGAGGCAGCAGUGGGGAAUAUUGCGCAAUGGGCGGAAGCCUGACGCAGCGACGCCGCGUGAGGGAUGACGGCCUUCGGGUUGUAAACCUCUUUCAGCAGGGACGAAGCUAACGUGACGGUACCUGCAGAAGAAGCGCCGGCUAACUACGUGCCAGCAGG